rnacentral:pre_miRNA from 1 species
AGCCUUCUGUAUCCAUGCUGAGAUUUCGUAACACACACCAGACCACAAGGGUUGAUGAGACUCCUAAGAUAAGUGAAGCG